GCCGUCUGCAAGGACGUUGUCCAGGGGACACCAGGAUGUUUGAUGUUUUAUCAUCUUUGUGGGAGGCUUCUCUCAUGUCCCCGCAUGGGGAGCUGGAGCUGACAGAGGGAGCUCAUCCACUCUUUCCCUGGAUUCGAACUGGCAACCUUCAGAACCAAUUGAAGAAAGUUCAAGCAAACUACCCAAAACUGGUUCUUCAAGUAAAGUGAACUCUUUUCAUCAUGUGCUUCAAACCAGGCUUUUGCCCAACU
rnacentral:lncRNA from 11 species